rnacentral:rRNA from 1 species
AUUGAACGCUAGCGGCAGGCCUAACACAUGCAAGUCGAGCGGAUGAAGGGAGCUUGCUCCUGGAUUCAGCGGCGGACGGGUGAGUAAUGCCUAGGAAUCUGCCUGGUAGUGGGGGAUAACGUCCGGAAACGGGCGCUAAUACCGCAUACGUCCUGAGGGAGAAAGUGGGGGAUCUUCGGACCUCACGCUAUCAGAUGAGCCUAGGUCGGAUUAGCUAGUUGGUGGGGUAAAGGCCUACCAAGGCGACGAUCCGUAACUGGUCUGAGAGGAUGAUCAGUCACACUGGAACUGAGACACGGUCCAGACUCCUACGGGAGGCAGCAGUGGGGAAUAUUGGACAAUGGGCGAAAGCCUGAUCCAGCCAUGCCGCGUGUGUGAAGAAGGUCUUCGGAUUGUAAAGCACUUUAAGUUGGGAGGAAGGGCAGUAAGUUAAUACCUUGCUGUUUUGACGUUACCAACAGGAUAAGCACCGGCUAACUUCGUG